CCCUCUUCUGCCUGACCUUCUGCUGGUGAUGGGAGGAGUAUCCUGUUCACUGUCUGUGUCUGGCUGAAGGGCUUCAGCUGUGUCUGGGGUGCUCUGCAGCUGAGGGGGAGAAGGAGCUGGGUUCUCAGGAGUUUCCUCCAUUUCUCCUUCUGGGUCUGCUGCUGUUACUCCUGAGUCAUCCUCAUCUGAUAAAUCCUCUGACGGGGCCAUGACAACCCCUUUGGAGUUGGUGGCUUUACUUCUAACAGCAGCACACUUGGAAAUCAUGCUACAUUGAAAGAUUGGGGCUAAUUUCACUACAAAAGGGUGCUUGAACCAAAGAUGGGCCAUCACUGUCUCUGAAGUCUAACCCAGCAUAACAAGACUGUUAAAGAAACUUCAAAAAAAGAGCAUUUCAAAACUGUAUCGUACCAAUUCCUAUGUUAGGCAAAUAAGAUUUUACAGCUGACCAGCCACCCUUUAUCCCAUAUUACACUGUGGAGAGGCCUGGGGCACUCUGGGAGGAGUGCUGAAUGCUGAUCUGGAAAAUGAGGAGCAUCUUGCCGUAUUCGUAUGUUGCCAAUUUUAUCCUUGUAUUUUAACAAAUAUUAAAUAAAAAUUAACAUUUGUAUUUA